UGCGAAUACCGGAGAAUGUUAUCACGGGAGACACACGGCGGGUGCUAACGUCCGUCGUGAAGAGGGAAACAACCCAGACCGCCAGCUAAGGUCCCAAAGUCAUGGUUAAGUGGGAAACGAUGUGGGAAGGCCCAGACAGCCAGGAUGUUGGCUUAGAAGCAGCCAUCAUUUAAAGAAAGCGUAAUAGCUCACUGGUCGAGUCGGCCUGCGCGGAAGAUGUAACGGGGCUAAACCAUGCACCGAAGCUGCGGCAGCGACACUAUGUGUUGUUGGGUAGGGGAGCGUUCUGUAAGCCUGUGAAGGUGUGCUGUGAGGCAUGCUGGAGGUAUCAGAAGUGCGAAUGCUGACAUAAGUAACGAUAAAGCGGGUGAAAAGCCCGCUCGCCGGAAGACCAAGGGUUCCUGUCCAACGUUAAUCGGGGCAGGGUGAGUCGACCCCUAAGGCGAGGCCGAAAGGCGUAGUCGAUGGGAAACAGGUUAAUAUUCCUGUACUUGGUGUUACUGCGAAGGGGGGACGGAGAAGGCUAUGUUGGCCGGGCGACGGUUGUCCCGGUUUAAGCGUGUAGGCUGGUUUUCCAGGCAAAUCCGGAAAACCAAGGCUGAGGCGUGAUGACGAGGCACUACGGUGCUGAAGCGACAAAUGCCCUGCUUCCAGGAAAAGCCUCUAAGCAUCAGGUAACAUCAAAUCGUACCCCAAACCGACACAGGUGGUCAGGUAGAGAAUACCAAGGCGCUUGAGAGAACUCGGGUGAAGGAACUAGGCAAAAUGGUGCCGUAACUUCGGGAGAAGGCACGCUGAUAUGUAGGUGAAGCGACUUGCUCGUGGAGCUGAAAUCAGUCGAAGAUACCAGCUGGCUGCAACUGUUUAUUAAAAACACAGCACUGUGCAAACACGAAAGUGGACGUAUACGGUGUGACGCCUGCCCGGUGCCGGAAGGUUAAUUGAUGGGGUUAGCGGUAACGCGAAGCUCUUGAUCGAAGCCCCGGUAAACGGCGGCCGUAACUAUAACGGUCCUAAGGUAGCGAAAUUCCUUGUCGGGUAAGUUCCGACCUGCACGAAUGGCGUAAUGAUGGCCAGGCUGUCUCCACCCGAGACUCAGUGAAAUUGAACUCGCUGUGAAGAUGCAGUGUACCCGCGGCAAGACGGAAAGACCCCGUGAACCUUUACUAUAGCUUGACACUGAACAUUGAGCCUUGAUGUGUAGGAUAGGUGGGAGGCUUUGAAGUGUGGACGCCAGUCUGCAUGGAGCCGACCUUGAAAUACCACCCUUUAAUGUUUGAUGUUCUAACGUUGGCCCGUAAUCCGGGUUGCGGACAGUGUCUGGUGGGUAGUUUGACUGGGGCGGUCUCCUCCUAAAGAGUAACGGAGGAGCACGAAGGUUGGCUAAUCCUGGUCGGACAUCAGGAGGUUAGUGCAAUGGCAUAAGCCAGCUUGACUGCGAGCGUGACGGCGCGAGCAGGUGCGAAAGCAGGUCAUAGUGAUCCGGUGGUUCUGAAUGGAAGGGCCAUCGCUCAACGGAUAAAAGGUACUCCGGGGAUAACAGGCUGAUACCGCCCAAGAGUUCAUAUCGACGGCGGUGUUUGGCACCUCGAUGUCGGCUCAUCACAUCCUGGGGCUGAAGUAGGUCCCAAGGGUAUGGCUGUUCGCCAUUUAAAGUGGUACGCGAGCUGGGUUUAGAACGUCGUGAGACAGUUCGGUCCCUAUCUGCCGUGGGCGCUGGAGAACUGAGGGGGGCUGCUCCUAGUACGAGAGGACCGGAGUGGACGCAUCACUGGUGUUCGGGUUGUCAUGCCAAUGGCACUGCCCGGUAGCUAAAUGCGGAAGAGAUAAGUGCUGAAAGCAUCUAAGCACGAAACUUGCCC
rnacentral:rRNA from 1 species